rnacentral:rRNA from 1 species
GACGAACGCUGGCGGCGUGCUUAACACAUGCAAGUCGAACGAAGAGCGAUGGAAGCUUGCUUCUAUCAAUCUUAGUGGCGAACGGGUGAGUAACGCGUAAUCAACCUGCCCUUCAGAGGGGGACAACAGUUGGAAACGACUGCUAAUACCGCAUACGAUCUGACCUCGGCAUCGAGGAUGGAUGAAAGGUGGCCUCUAUUUAUAAGCUAUUACUGAAGGAGGGGAUUGCGUCUGAUUAGCUAGUUGGAGGGGUAACGGCCCACCAAGGCGAUGAUCAGUAGCCGGUCUGAGAGGAUGAACGGCCACAUUGGGACUGAGACACGGCCCAGACUCCUACGGGAGGCAGCAGUGGGGAAUCUUCCGCAAUGGACGAAAGUCUGACGGAGCAACGCCGCGUGAGUGAUGACGGCCUUCGGGUUGUAAAGCUCUGUUAAUCGGGACGAAAGGCCUUCUUGCGAAUAGUUAGAAGGA